rnacentral:rRNA from 1 species
UACGGAGGGGGCUAGCGUUGUUCGGAAUCAUUGGGCGUAAAGGGCGCGUAGGCGGCCGAUCAAGUCGGAGGUGAAAUCCCUCGGCUCAACUGAGGAAUUGCCUUCGAUACUGUUCGGCUUGAGUCCUGGAGAGGGUAGCGGAAUUCCCGGUGUAGCGGUGAAAUGCGUAGAGACCGGGAAGAACACCAGUGGCGAAGGCGGCUACCUGGACAGGUACUGACGGCUGAGGCGCGACAGCGUGGGGGAGCAACAGG